GAUGAACGCUGGCGGCGUGCCUAAUACAUGCAAGUCGAACGCUGGAAAUCUAGCUUGCUAGAUUGAAGGAGUGGCGAACGGGUGAGUAAUACAUAAGCAACCUACCCACGAAGACUGGGAUAAUCUCUGGAAACGGGGACUAAUACCGGAUAGGUAAUCGGAAGGCAUCUUCUGAUUAUUAAAGGUUAAAAACACUGGUGGAUGGGCUUAUGGCGCAUUAGUUAGUUGGUGAGGUAACGGCCCACCAAGACGAUGAUGCGUAGCCGGCCUGAGAGGGUGAACGGCCACAUUGGGACUGAGACACGGCCCAGACUACUACGGGAGGCAGCAGUAGGGAAUUUUCGGCAAUGGGGGAAACCCUGACCGAGCAACGCCGCGUGAGUGAUGACGGCCUUCGGGUUGUAAAGCUCUGUUGUAAGGGAAGAACGGUAGAUAGAGAAUAUCUAAAUGACGGUACCUGACCAGAAAGCCACGGCUAACUACGUG
rnacentral:rRNA from 1 species